rnacentral:rRNA from 1 species
AUACGGAGGAUGCAAGCGUUAUCCGGAUUUAUUGGGUUUAAAGGGUGCGUAGGCGGAGGAGUAAGUCAGGGGUGAAAUGCCGCAGCUCAACUGCGGAACUGCCUUUGAUACUGCUUUUCUGGAGUCCGGAUGCCGUGGGGGGCAUGGGCGGUGAGGCGGGUAAAUGCAUAGAUAUUGCCCAGAACACCGAUUGCGAAGGCAUCUCACGAAUCCGGGACUGACGCUGAGGCACGAAAGCGUGGGGAUCAAACAGGAUUAGAUACCCUGGUAGUCCACGCAGUAAACGAUGAUAACUAACCGUCGGCGAUAGACAGUCGGUGGCCAAGCGAAAGCGAUAAGUUAUCCACCUGGGGAGUACGUUCGCAAGAAUGAAACUCAAAUGAAUUGGCGGGG